rnacentral:rRNA from 1 species
GUUGACCUCGAAUCAGGUAGGACUACCCGCUGAA